rnacentral:rRNA from 1 species
UUGGAGGGCAAGUCUGGUGCCAGCAGCCGCGGUAAUUCCAGCUCCAAUAGCGUAUAUUAAAGUUGUUGCAGUUAAAAAGCUCGUAGUUGAAUUUCGGGAUCAGAUUGUCGGUCGUGCCUCGGUACGCACUGGUAUUAUUGGUUCCUACCUUCUGAAGAACCGCGAUGUCAUUAAUUUGGUGUCGUGGGGAAUCAGGACUGUUACUUUGAAAAAAUUAGAGUGUUUAAAGCAGGCUUACGCUUGAAUACAUUAGCAUGGAAUAAUGAAAUAGGACGUUUGAUUCUAUUUUGUUGGUUUCUAGGAUUGACGUAAUGAUUAAUAGGGAUAGUUGGGGGCAUUAGUAUUCAAUUGUCAGAGGUGAAAUUCUUGGAUUUAUUGAAGACUAACUACUGCGAAAGCAUUUGCCAAGGAUGUUUUCAUUAAUCAAGAACGAAAGUUAGGGGAUCGAAGACGAUCAGAUACCGUCGUAGUCUUAACCAUAAACUAUGCCGACUAGGGAUCGGAUGAUGUUAAUUUUUUAAUGACUCAUUCGGCGCCUUACGGGAAACCAAAGUGUUUGGGAWUC